UGAGGGAAAGUUGCAAAGAACUUUGAAGAGAGAGUUCAAGAGUACGUGAAACUGCUCAGAGGCAAACGGGUGGGCCCUCGAAAUCCUACUGCGGAGGGAUUCAGUCGGGCGCCGUCCGAGGCACGCGGGAGCCGGACCCCCAAGAAGGGACGGCCCCGCGGGAUCGGGCGCGCACGACGCACUUCCCGCCGCACUCUGGACGCCGCAUCGAAUCGGGUAGCUGCGAGAGUCGGCCUGGAGGCGGUCCGAGGAGGUGACCGGGUUCUCGGUUUCGGCCGGGUCCCCGGAUCUUGACCGGACCGCUACGUGGCGCGACACCCGAUCGUAGUCCUGGAGUUCCCCUAGCGGGAACCUCGUCUCCUGCCCUCUGGGUCGCGGUGCCCUGGUCACCGUGCGUCGGCGAGAGCGAACCACUCCCCGCAGUGGCCGCUCCGCCGCCUCGCGCGGGUUGGGCCCGGGCGUGCCGCGGAGGGAGAGACACUUGCGGCGAACUAAGUCGGUCACCCACCCGACCCGUCUUGAAACACGGACCAAGGAGUCUAACAUGUGCGCGAGUCGCAGGGUCUUGUACAGGCCCUCGGGCGCAAUGAAAGUGAAGGUCCUCGGACCGAGCUGGGAUCCCGUCCCAGCGGCGGGAGCACCAGCGGCCCGUUCCGUCCGCCCCGGCGGUGGAGCGGAGUCCGAGCGCACACGUUGGGACCCGAAAGAUGGCGAGCUAUGCCUGGGCAGAACGAAGCCGGAGGAAACUCUGGUGGAGGUUCGCAGCGGUUCUGACGUGCAAAUCGAUCGUCAGACCUGGG
rnacentral:rRNA from 1 species